ensembl:lncRNA BPESC1 blepharophimosis, epicanthus inversus and ptosis candidate 1
AAAGGAAGAAGAGGAACACGUUGCUGUGUGCUCGUGGCACGUGGCCUGUUGGGUCCUUUCGCAGUCCUUUGAAGCAGUUGCUUUUACUGUCCCCUGUUUUACAGAAGAGGAAACAGCCAAGGUGACUUAAGGGCAGAGCGCCAGCAGGUAUGGAGCCUGAAUUUAAAUGCAGGUCUGCAUACUGCAAGCACCUGGGUUCUCUCCACCCCUCCUCUGGACUCCCAUUUGUUCUCUGUCAGUGACUGAGAAAGGGUGGGUGGGACUAGGAACUCAGCUUCCGGUCCAUGACCACAUCCAUGGAAUAUGGGAGGAAGAGAUCAAAUCACAAAUCUUGGGAGUGAGGGAGAGACACAUCCUUGGGGCUACUCAAGCCCCCCAUAUCCUUUGCAUACCUUCUUUAUCCCUUUUCUACCCAGUGGAUUUGGAGGGAGUGGGCUUGGGAUACCAUCAGACAACGAGAAACACGAUUUGCAGGACUGUGUGGAGGUAUCCAGGCCUGAGGGCCCUGCUCCAGAGCUCCCCUCCUCACUCUGUGGCUGGAACAAAAUCUCUUCCUUGUGUGGCCUUGGCUUCCCUAGCAGGGAUCCCAAAACAUGGGAUCUGGCCAUGCUGCUCAGUCCUUGGGUUGAUUUCUUUGAGCUCCAGCUUCUCUGAGCAUCCCCUCUGCUGUCCCCACAUCCUGAUAGCCCCUCUGGGAGCUGGGGCCUGGCCUUUCUGCCCAUUCUCAACAAACACUCUUGUCUGGAGACAGGCAGGACAAUGGAGAGCUACCUUGUCCUGCUGCUGCCCCUGCCACCACAGCUGCUUAUGUGUGACCGAUGGGGUUGAGAGGGGCAAGAGUUCUGUGGAGAGAGUGGAGGGAAAGAGUUUUUUUUUUUUUUUUUUUUUUUUUUGCUAUGCACAGUUCCUCCCAGCAACCUUCCCUCUCUGACCAAUGGGGCCUCUAGGCUCUGCCCUUCACGUUGGGGUCUUCCCCCACCUCCGGCCCUUUGGUUUUGAUAUGGCUAGUGACCAGCACUGACCACCAUCCCAAGCUGGGAAGAGCAAUUGGUGAAGAGUGUGUGUACUAUUUACUUUCUUCACCCUUGCCCCUUUAUUCUCAAGGUCUUUUGAUUGUGAAGCAAGGCCCGAGGCCUUGACUGGUGAGAUUAGCCCGGGAGGUGGUGGCUCCCUCCUGCUCUCUGUGGUGAAAGCCAAGCACACUUUCCUAAAACCAGCGUCGGAAGCUGUGCUGUAGCCUGUAAUUACUGACAUGAAGGUCCCCACACAGAGUCUGGAUGGAGGCUGCCCUGGAAGCAGCCCCGGGCUGGGAAAGGGCUGAGUGUCAACAGGCCUGUGUUUGAAUCCAAGUCACCUGUGUUCUCUGACAGGUCACUCAGUUCCUCCGGCCACAGCUGCCCCUCUGUGAGAUGACAUAACACUGCUUACCUCUUGGUGUGGCUAUGAGGAUUGAUUGGGCUGAUGUGUAGAAAAUAUGUAAUGCAGGGCUUGUCCUGGAGGUGAUGUUAGGUAAUGGUGAGGUGGAUCUUCCCUGUGUGGUCCCUCCCUUCGUGUGCCCCUGCCCAGCCUCUUGGCACCUCCUGUUUACUCCCCGAGCCCCCAGAUUCUCACCUUUGCCCAGAGCCACAUUCGGGCUUGUCUUCCUCUUCCAUGUCCCCGCAUGCAGAAUCCUCUCUUUCUUCUGCCAGGGUUCUUCCUCUCCAAGCCCUCCUCUGAACCAGCUAUCCCUCUGGAAUGCAGCUGACCAAACAAAUUCCCACUAAUGUAACUGGUAGUAUCUUAGAGGUGAACUCUCCUGUGGGCAUUUUAUUUGUAUCUUAGAAGAAUUUUUGUUUUAAAUCUUAUUUUUCCCAACUGGCAUAUAGUAGGGUGCUCAAUAAAGGUGGGUUGCCUGAAUAAGUGAAAGAACCUAAGGAACAAUGUCUAAUGGUGGAAUUUCAGUCAUGUCUUCAUGCUUUCAGCCUCUCUGCAAACAUUUAUUUUGUGUGCUAGAUACUGGAGAUAUGUUGCUGGAUAAAACAGCCACAGUCCUUGCCCUUUGGAACUUCCAGUAUAGUGGGGACAAUCAGUUAAUAAGCAAACAAACACAUUUCUAUUUAUAAAUGGUGAUAAAAUUCCUUGGCUAAAAGAAUAUUGCAGAGUCUAUGAUACUGUAUAACAGGGGCUUCUAAUUAAAUUUAGGGGAUCCUGAUGCCACUUAGCAGUGGGAUUUCAGAGGACCUUUCAGAGGAGCUAAGCAUUUAUCAGCUGCCGCUUAUUCAUUGCCUUGAUUUUCUUCAAAAGACAACUAUAAUCAUUCAAAAAUUCCAAGUUGGGUCCAAAAUGUCAAAGGACUCUGCAUGCUGCUGAAAGCAAAUGAAUGUGGAGGGUUUCAAACAAGACAAAAGGCAUUCCUCCCUGCCCAAUCCCAGUGCAGUCAAGGCCAACCUAGGCAGCAGCCACCUUCUCAGGAAACAAGGCCUUGGAGAAAUCAGUGCCUGUGUGAAGAUGGUGUCGGCUGAAAAGAAGAGCAAUGGCGUCAAGUACUAAAUGAUUAUCAAGGGUCAACUUCUGUAUCUGUAUCAGCUGCAACACACUGUCUUUAAUACCCCCAGCCCAGGAGCUCGUGCCUUACAUGCUGGGCCCACAUUCUGCCCCAAGCAGAAGCUGCAGGGACCUCAGUGUCCACCCUUCCUGCCUCAUGUCUCAAGGCAGCAGCUCCUCUCUGGUAACCUGAUGGUGAUGUGGCCAGGGUGCCGAGAUGGGACAGCAAAGAUGAUGGGCUCUGCACACCAACUCCAGGAAACUCAUUCUGGGCCAGCUCUAUGCAAAGGGAAAAGCAUGUUGCAUUCACCUAGGCCAAGAAACAGUGUUGUAGGUUAAGGGCAUGGACUGCUUGAGUUCAGUGCCAGCUAUGCCACUUACCAGCUGUGGGACCUUGGGCAAGUUGCCUUUGUGCCUAUGCUUCCACUUUCCUUUUCCCUCCACCAUGAAGAUGGGUUAAGAGUCUCAAGGUUGUGGUGACUGUAGAUAUAUGAGUGUGCAUUUGCUAUGCUUUACCUGUCUGGCAUCUAGCAAACAUUCUUCACAUGUUUGCUGUUAUCAAGAUUGUUGUAUAUGUGAAUGAAAUGAUACGAUGUCUCAGAUUUGCUUUAAAAUAAUAGGGAGGUUGGGGAAGUGGGUUGGGGUACAGACGAAACAGGAGUAGGUGUGAGUUGAUAAUGUUGAAGUUGAGUGAUCAGUACGUGGGUUUAUUACACUAUUCUUUUCACAUUUGCUUUGAAACUGUUCAUAAAAAUUUCCAUAAUAAAAGUUCUAUAUAUAUAUAAAUAUAUACAUACAUAUGAGAAAAUGAUGUUUAUAGCAGAGCUUCACUAGACAUGGUAUGUAGCAUGUAGUGCACAAGCUGAUUUUAAGUGAUAUUCAGAUGGCCUUUUAAAUUUAAUUAUUAUGUAUUUAAAAUUUAAUUAAUUAUAGCAAGUGAUAUGAACUGUGAUAAUGCAGAAGGUUUCCUUUUAAAAUAAAGUUCAGUCAAAAAAGUGA